GGGGGGGGGGGGGGGGGGGGGGGGGGGGGGGGGGGGGGGGGGGGGGGGGGGGGGGGGGGGGGGGGGGGGGGGGGGGGGGGGGGGGGGGGGGCGCGCGCCCUUCCCGACGGGCGGCCGGGCCCCGGGCGCGUUCCCGCGACCCCGCGUCCUUCCUCCGCGUUCCGCCCGGCCGCGUUUGCAAAUCACGGACGGGCCUUCGCGUGCGGCGGGGCGCGGCGUGCUGGCGGCGGCUGGAGCUACGAGCCUCGCCGACGGCUCUCGAAAGGAUUUCUCACGCUGUGGGUGCUGCUGCCGCUCGCACAAGGCUCUCGGGCCCGGCGGCGUUCCCGGGGACCGGGGUGGUCGUGGAGCGCCCGCGGAACUGCACUCACGCCGCUCCCCGAGUUACCUGGAAGCUGCCUGGCUACCUGUGAGCCGAAAGAGUGAAAUAAAGGCCGCCAGCGUGGGGAUGUAUUCACUAGUACCUCUGAAUAGAACAGCCCUGCGUGGCUUGCGCAAAAGGCGACUCUGGAGAUUCUUAUCCAGAAGGUCUGUAUUUGGUAUGAAGUGAAGUGAUGGAACACACCUUGAAGAUAAAAGAAGUGUAAAUAAACCCUCCUGAAUGCUAGACAACAUGGGCAUGUGCAGGUUGGCUGAAUUGUGUGGCAAUUGUAACCGAGGGCUGUAACUGCAUCAAUGAGGAGAGCCAGGCCUCCCCUGCACUCUUGAAAAGUAAUUUCAGGUCUGGGUAAAGGCAGAUCACAUGUAAUGGGAACUAAUUUAAAAUUUAAACAAAAGCUGGUGGUAAACAGCGCCAUAAUGUAGCCCUGGGCAGAAAUUUUUGUGUUGGAGGUCUUGGCCUCGAAAGGUGCUCAGUCAUUGCAGCAAUCUGCAUUCCCCAGGCACUGUGACGUUACUGAGAAUGUGUGACAAUACGGCUGGGGAGUCCAUGAGGGAUGCAGAAAGGGAAGUGUCUAAUUAGACAUAGAUUUAUACUUCUGCAAAAUGGAACUUUGUGUUGAAUUGAUACCGAAUUGAGUGGGUGGUUCUCAGAUCACUGAGAAGCUCAAAGAUACCUUCCCUCACUUCUUAGAUAAGUAUAUUUGAGGAAUCUGUAUACAAAGGUCACAGAUAUAUUGGCUGGUACAUAAGCUGAGCUUUUGUUGGGCUUUUGCAAUCUUAAAGCCAAAGUUCAGAAGGGUUUGCGUGUCAAUGGAGAAAGCACUGGUGGGUUUAGGACCUGGCUUUUUGGAAUUUCUAGGCUGAUUGAGGGAUAGCUUCUUUGAAAUUCCUGCUGCUAAAAGGGAUGAAGUGCCCAGUUCCCAGCUGCAGGAUCUGUUUUAGUUAAUAGGCCAAACAGAGGAAACGUCACCCAAAUAAAAUUUACUAUUUGACAUUAACUGCAAUGAUGUUGCAAACUUAUAAAAGGAUGAAGAAGUAAUGCCAAGGCAAUCAAAGAUAUUGGAGUUACGGGAAAAUAGAAGCUAACACACAGAGGGGAAGUAAGUCUUUGGUAAUGUCUGGGGGAAAAGACAUUAGUCUUUUAGAAAACAGACUAGUUUUGAAGGAAACCUGAUGGUGUCUAUGAAUAUCACAGAAAUGAGCCAACUGCAUGUUACAGCUAAAAAUAAAUAAAUAAAUUUUUUUAAAAACGGUGUUGUUUUGGUCUCUAAGUGCCAAAAAUAUCCUUUAUUGGAAAGAGGUAGAUCUUAUGACUGCUGUGUUGAAGAAGUUCCUAUGCAAGUUAGAUUGGGAAAUCUUACCUUUAAAAAUGUACAUGUCAUUUGAAGCAGAGAUGCCCAAAUUGCAAGUGAGGUUUUGCAGAAAAAUCCUUUUGUUUGUUGGCUGAUUUCUUUUUUUUUUUUUGAAAGCUGAGUAUUGGGAAACUAAAGUUCCUUAGAGAUCGAGGAACCUUAAAUAAGCAAGAAAAAGAAUUAUCCUCUUCUCCCCCUCCUUUCCCUUCUGAAUAAAACCU
rnacentral:lncRNA from 1 species